rnacentral:rRNA from 1 species
AUACGUAGGGAGCGAGCGUUGUCCGGAAUGAUUGGGCGUAAAGGGCGCGUAGGCGGCCUGUUAAGUCUGGAGUGAAAGUCCUGUUUUCAAGAUGGGAAUUGCUUUGGAUACUGAUGGGCUUGAGUGCAGGAGAGGUUAUCGGAAUUCCCGGUGUAGCGGUGAAAUGCGUAGAGAUCGGGAGGAACACCAGUGGCGAAGGCGGGUAACUGGACUGCAACUGACGCUGAGGCGCGAAAGUGUGGGGAGCAAACAGGAUUAGAUACCCUGGUAGUCCACACUGUAAACGAUGAAUGCUAGGUGUAAGAGGUAUCGACCCCUUUUGUGCCGGAGUUAACACAAUAAGCAUUCCGCCUGGGGAGUACGGCCGCAAGGUUGAAACUCAAAUGAAUUGACGGGG